AUAUGGAGGAAUCUUUUAACAAAAUGGAUUUAAGUGGUAAACUCAUAAUCAAGGCUAGGUUUGGCGAGGACAUCAGGCGUAUUCCAAUCCAUAACGAUGAUCUCACGUAUGACGAGCUUGUUCUAAUGAUGCAGAGAGUGUUUAAAGGAAGUAUAACUCCUGAUGAUGAACUACUUCUUAAAUAUAAAGAUGAAGACGGAGAUCUGAUAACAAUCACAGACAAUUCUGAUCUGUCAUUUGCGAUCCAGUAUUGUCGUGUUCUCAAGCUGACCAUAUUGAGUGGGAACCAGGAGCAGAAAACUGGAACCGUCUUACCCUCUCUAGAUCAACUCAGGAGCAUCAGGGAUGCAAUUAACAAACUUCUAGAUAGCUGCGUAGACUCAGGGUCAGCUCCGAUACAGGUAGUUGAGGAGACUGGGGAACCUGAUUCCAGUUUGUCAUUGAACAAAGAGGUUUCUUCAGCUUUCAACGGUUUCAAGGAGCAGAGCAGGGAGUUCGAUCCUUUAAAUCAAGAGCAAACAAAUCAGGUUCUGAAAGCUGACUCAGACUAUCGAAGUGAAUCCCGGGCUUCAUCUGCACAGGAUCCGUCGGAUACAACCCCGUCAUAUCCGUCUCAACCUUCCUCCCAACAAUCAUUCUCAGCACCUGGGCAGCAACCUGUCUACCCAGCUGCACAAGCUGGUCAGCCGACCUUUCCAGGCCAACCUGCAUACUCCGCAGCGCAGCCUGGAUACUCAUCUUCACAACCUGGUUAUACUACUGCACAGUCUUCAUAUCCUUCUUCCCAGCCUGCCUACAAUGUUGGAUAUCCAGCUGGUCAACCCCAGGCCGGUCAAACUCCGAACCAGGGCCAGGUAGCCAUGCCGACUCCGUUUGCUGGUCAAACCGGUGAUCCGGGACUUGCUAAACCAUAUCCUACAGCCCAGCGUCCCGUUCAACCUCCAGGAGCUACGCAGCAGCAGUAUCCAGGUUUCCCAGGAGUAGGUCAGCAGCAACCUGCCUAUUCAACUCCAGGAUAUACAUCUGCAGGACCGGCAGCAUACUCGGGCUACCCUGGAUAUACACCAACCAGUGCUCCGAGUAAUCCUUAUAGUAGAGCCACACCUGGAGCAGGAUAUGCGCAUCCUCAGCAGACCCAACCUGGUUACAAAUAAUCUAGGGUUUAAUACUUAUCUUGCUACUAGGGUAGAUACAUCGCCAACAAAAAUGUUUAAGUUUAUGCUAUGUAAUAAGAUGAUUUUAUGCGGGGGGGGGCAAAUAUAUUUUUGUAAUAUUUAUCCCUCCCUCUGAAUAUGAGGAAGGGUUUAUGAGGUCCCUUAAAUCUAGAUAUUUAAUAUUUAUUUAUUAAUUAUAAAUUUUGUGUAAAUGUGUGCGAAUUGUAUUUUAAUAUACGGAGAUUUUAUAAUGAAUAUUUCUAUUAAAUUACUUCACCUUUUUA
rnacentral:misc_RNA from 1 species